rnacentral:rRNA from 1 species
GACGGGGGCCCGCGACAAGCGGUGGAGCAUGUGGUUUUAAUUCGAAGCAACGCGAAGAACCUUACCAGGUCUUGACAUCCCGAUGCUAUUUCUAGAGAUAGAAAGUUACUUCGGUACAUCGGUGACAGGUGGUGCAUGGUUGUCGUCAGCUCGUGUCGUGAGAUGUUGGGUUAAGUCCCGCAACGAGCGCAACCCCUAUUGUUAGUUGCCAUCAUUCAGUUGGGCACUCUAGCGAGACUGCCGGUAAUAAACCGGAGGAAGUGGGGAUGACGUCAAAUCAUCAUGCCCCUUAUGACCUGGGCUACACACGUGCUACAAUGGUUGGUACAACGAGUUGCGAGUCGGUGACGGCGAGCUAAUCUCUUAAAGCCAAUCUCAGUUCGGAUUGUAGGCUGCAACUCGCCUACAUGAAGUCGGAAUCGCUAGUAAUCGCGGAUCAGCACGCCGCGGUGAAUACGUUCCCGGGCCUU